GCUUCGAGUAUCCCGGAUAUAAGAAGAAGCAGCACGCACGAUGAACUUUCCUGAAUGCUCCAUUCUACCUAGAUGCUUGUCAAAUUCUGAGACUUGCCAAACAAACAUGAGUUUGCAGCCUGCGUCCGCGAUUUCCCGAGCAGACGCACUGGAUCACAUUUAGGUCGGCUUAAAGUAGAAUGAAACAUAACGGCUUGAUCAGGAGAAAGGGCCGUCUCCCGCCGCUGUCUGGUGCUGAACGGCAGAGGCGGUAUCGCGCUAGGCGUGACGCGGACCCCGAGAGGAGGCGGCGGUACCUGGAGAUAUAUAUAAGAAUUGCUGGAGAACAACAGGACUGGCCACAAAGCCCAUGGAUGAAAGUACUGCCUUUGACCCCCUGCGAGAAAUCGGCGUGUUCGAGCAAUGAGUAGGAAUUGCCAAAAUGGAGGAUUUUAUACAGCCCGUUCCCGAGGAUGCUUUGGACGAGAGCAGAACGUGUGCCGACACUGACGCGGUGGUGAAGGACGGCGAUGACGAUGUUGAAGAGUACGAUUCGGUAACGAUACUGACUGCGGCCCAGAUAAGGGUGGCCACCGGUCUUCUGUGCCGGGGAUUCAGUGAUUUCAGUCUUCUUCAUCGCUUCCAGAACGAAGUCAACAACAUCCUGGAGGGCGCAGUGCUCCGGGGGCCUCUACACAAGUUUAUAAAUGAGUAGCUUUGCAAAAGUUUCAAAAGUUCAUUUGGCAGCAUAAAAGGUUGGUUUUUGACCGUGUAACGGAAUAUGAAUAGAAACAUUUGAGGUUCAGUUUAUACGAAUUCCAUUAAUUAAGUUCAGAUGCAGACUCACUUUGUUCUUUGCCAUUUAUAAAAUAAAUUAUGUUAGUUUAUUAUUUUAUUGAAAUUGUUAACAAAUAAUCACCUUGUUCAUUGACACAUGCUAAUGAAACAAAUGUGUGUUCACUUUUGUUCAUGCCAUUCAGUGAGUGCUGUUAUUUUCCAUUUGUGUGAUAAUAAAUAGAAAGAAGCUGACAAUAGCUGAUGUUGCUAACUAACUUUCUAUGAUCUCAAAAUAUCUGCAUAUUUUUGCAUUUGGUUCCCUGAGCUGCCUGGAGUGGGGUGGGCUCCCCUUCUGGGCGUGGUUCCUCCUAACAUGUCUUCAUGUAUGUUUCUUGUCCAUGGAGUUUUUCUAGGUAUUUUGUGAAAGUUAUUUGUAAGAAUAAAGGUUUGUACACCUGACCAUGUAGACCACAGGUGCUUGAGACAUGCGAAAGCCGGAAGUUAAAUAAAACA